GAAAUACUCCCUCCGUCCGAAAAUACUUGUCAUCAAAAUGGAUAAAAAGAGAUGUAUCUAGAACUAAAAUACGUCUAGAUACAUCCCCUUUUAUCCAUUUUGAUGACAAGUAUUUCCGGACGGAGGGAGUAUAUG
rnacentral:pre_miRNA from 1 species